GGCCCGCUAGCAAAACUGGAGAAUGCGCCGGAAGUUCUACUCCGGGAGGUGCACGUUCGAAUCGUGCGCGGGCUGCCA
rnacentral:tRNA from 1 species